UGGGGAAUAUUGGACAAUGGGCGCAAGCCUGAUCCAGCAAUGCCGCGUGUGUGAAGAAGGCCUUCGGGUUGUAAAGCACUUUUAUCAGGAGCGAAACGCUGUCGGCUAAUACCCGGCGGAACUGACGGUACCUGAGGAAUAAGCACCGGCUAACUUCGUGCCAGCAGCCGCGGUAAUACGAAGGGUGCAAGCGUUAAUCGGAAUUACUGGGCGUAAACGUGCGUAGGCGGUUUCUUAAGUCUGCUGUGAAAUCCCCGGGCUCAACCUGGGAAUGGCAGUGGAUACUGGGAGGCUAGAGUGUGUCAGAGGGUGGUGGAAUUCCCGGUGUAGCGGUGAAAUGCGUAGAGAUCGGGAGGAACAUCAGUGGCGAAGGCGGCCACCUGGGACAACACUGACGCUGAGGCACGAAAGCGUGGGGAGCAAACAGGAUUAGAUACCCUGGUAGUCCACGCCCUAAACGAUGCGAACUGGAUGUUGGUCUCAACUCGGAGAUCAGUGUCGAAGCUAACGCGUUAAGUUCGCCGCCUGGGGAGUACGGUCGCAAGACUGAAACUUAAAUGAAUUGACGGGGUCAUAGCUGUUUCCUG
rnacentral:rRNA from 1 species